UUUUUGGCUUGUUUUCCUUUAAUCCUUUGGUUUAUUAGGCGAUAUGUUAUUACCUAUGAAUUCAACUAUAAGACUACAAAUGAAAGGGUCACACCUUGCCACCAACUAUAAAGAAAAAUACUGGCAUGACAUAUUAAAAAAAAAGGGGUUCAUUCUUACUAGAGGUGUUACCAAAGCUACAACAUGGAAUAGACUAAGCCUAUUGCCAACACUUGAAAUGAAAAGGCUUCGUCUUCUCUUUGAACGAAACUCUUCUCCCGCCAAAACCGACUCUUCCUCCUCCUCUGCCGCUUUCAACAAACCAAAACCACCCAUCUCUCAUGGCUCAUCAUCAUCCCAAGAUCCUCUCAAAACCCAUUUAGCCUCUCUCAUCCAAUCCUCCAAAACCACCUUCCAACUCCGCCAAAUCCACGCCCAAAUCCUCCGCCGCAACCUUUCUUCCAGCACCAACCUUACCACCCUCUUAAUCUCCACCUCGUCUUCCCUCUAUUCCAUCCCUUAUGCCCUCUCCGUUUUCAACCAUUUCCACCACAAAAGCAUAUUCCUUUUCAACGCCCUGAUCCGUGGCUUAACGGAUAAUUCUCAUUUCCAAUCCUCAAUUUCCCAUUUUCUUCUCAUGUUGAGCCAUAGAGUUCGCCCUGAUAAGUUGACAUACCCUUUUGUGCUCAAAUCCGUCGCAGCUUUGGGUCAUCGUUGCCUUGGUUUGAUCCUUCAUGGAAGAAUAAUCAGAUCUGGGGUUGAGUUUGAUUCAUUCGUUCGGGUUUCAUUGGUGGAAAUGUAUGUAAAACUCGAGGAAUUGGGUUUUGCGUCGCAAGUGUUUGAUGAAAGUCCUGAGAGAAACAAGAGUGGGAGUAUAUUGUUGUGGAAUGUGUUGAUUAAUGGGUGUUGUAAAAUGGGAAAUUUGGGGAAAGCUAUGGAGCUUUUCGAGGAUAUGCCUGAGAGGAAUAGUGGGUCUUGGAAUUGUUUGAUAAAUGGGUUUAUGAGAAAUGGGGAUUUGGAUAAAGCAAUGCAGCUUUUUGAUGAAAUGAAGGAGAAGGAUGUGGUUUCUUGGACUACAGUUGUUAAUGGGUUUUCUCAUAAUGGAGAUCAUCAGAAGGCCUUAUCAAUGUUUUUUGAGAUGCUGCAGGUCGGUUUGAGGCCGAAUGAUCUUACUCUUGUUUCUGCUCUUUCUGCUUGUGCUAAAAUUGGUGCACUUGAAGCUGGAGUGCUUAUCCAUGAUUAUGUCUCGGGAAAUGGUUUUCAGUUGAAUAAAGCAAUUGGUGCUGCUUUGGUUGAUAUGUAUGCGAAGUGUGGGAAUAUCCUGUCUGCUAGUAAGGUUUUUGACGAGACAAAAGAGAAGGACAUUCUUACCUGGAGUGUCAUGAUAUGGGGUUGGGCAAUCCAUGGAUAUUAUGAGCAAGCUAUCCAAUGCUUCAAAAAGAUGAUGUUUUCAGGAAUAAAACCUGAUGGGGUUGUCUUUCUUGCCCUCUUAACUGCAUGCUCACAUUCUGGGCUAGUAAAUCUAGGGCUUAACUUCUUUGACAGCAUGAGGCUUGAUUACUCCAUUGAGCCAACCAUGAAGCAUUAUACAUUGGUUGUUGAUUUGUUAGGCAGGGCAGGCCGGCUGGAUGAAGCAAUGAAGUUCAUCGAAAGAAUGCCUAAAAGUCCUGAUUUUGUGACAUGGGGAGCACUAUUUUGUGCUUGCAGGGCUCACAAAAAUAUUAAAAUGGCAGAACUAGUGUCACAGAAGCUCCUUCAGCUUGAACCUAAACAUCCGGGGAGCUAUGUUUUCUUGUCAAAUGUUUAUGCUGCAGUUGGGAGAUGGGAAGAUGUGGAGAGAGUAAGAAUGUUGAUGCAGAACCGAGCUGUUGAAAAGGAUCCAGGGUGGAGUUAUAUUGAAGUUGGUGGACAAGUGCAUAGUUUUGUAGCCGGUGAUUACGCUCAUAAGCAUGCAAGAGAAAUAUACAUGAAAUUAGAGGAAAUAGUGGCUGAUGCAAGAGAACAAGGAUAUAUGCCUGAAACUGGGUGGGUACUUCAUAACAUUGAGGAAGAAGAGAAGGAAGAUGCAUUGGGAAGUCACAGUGAGAAACUGGCUCUUGCUUUUGCCUUAAUCCAUUUUUCUCCUGGGACAACCAUCAGGAUAGUGAAGAACUUAAGAGUAUGUGGGGAUUGCCAUUCUCUGAUGAAAUAUGCUAGUAAGGUGAUCCAAAGAGAGAUAGUAUUGAGAGAUAUAAAGCGAUUCCAUCAUUUCAAGGAUGGGGCCUGCUCAUGUGGAGAUUAUUGGUGAAAUGGUAAGUAACAGCAGCAUGAAUACUCUUUGCUGUCAAUAACACUUUAUUUUUUUUGCUUGGUAUAUUUAAAUAAGCUAAAACAACACAAAAAAGAAACUUGUUUAGUAGCAUGUGUUAUGCUUGAUGCGAUACCAACUUAGCAAUUUAUGGGCUUUUUUCUGCACUACAUGAUAUUUUUCCCGUCUGUUGUGGAAAGAAUUGAAGAAAUUGGUGCUCACUGGAUUGUCAUGACACAUAGCCAUAGGUGAUAGGUUAAUGACUCUCUUGGUUGGUAUCUUCCAUUUGUCAAGGCCCAGCCAAAGUUAUACCUUCUACUUGUCUAAAGUCCAAACCUAAAAGCAACAUUAAUGGACCUUUAGAACUUUGCACAUUUCAUUACAUGAAUGAUUUCAUGUUUCAUGCUCAACUUAUAAAGUACAUCUUCUCCAAAUCCUGUUACUCUUCAGUUUUCGCAGUCUUUCUCUUUACUGGCUUCUUCAGGUGUUUAGGUGGCUGCAUCUCUCAAUAUCUCAUUGAUUGCAGAACUUUUGUUUUUCAUUUUACCUAAAUGGUUGAAAUUAAAGUCCCUCUAUAUUACCAUUGAUGCCUUUUCUUCUAUAUGGUAGCUAUUCUUUGAUGUAUGUAUUUAUUUAUUUUGUUCCAGUUUCUUUUAUGAUCUAUACUAGAUAGCAGACAGUUUGAAAUCUUCAGCCUCUCAUCCAUGACAUAUAGCACUGCAGAUGAAGGUGUAAUCCUACUUCUAGCUUGGGGUUUACCUUCUAUAAUGCAGGUACUUCAGGAUGACUCAAAUUGUAUGUGAGCAAGAUUCAAGAAAUAAAUUUAACGCUUGGAUUGGGAAAGACAGGCCCUGAAUCAUGUAAUAAACGUUCAUCCAAAAGGUCAAAACAUUGAGGAGAAGGUUCAACCAUGAGUGGCCCGCCAAAACGUGCUCAGCCAAACACAUUCCAAUUAUCAAGUACAUGUCAAAUUCCACAACUGUGAAUUUGAACUGGGGGGGAAAUCUUGGGUUAAAUUCUCUACUUAAUCUGUUCUUGAGAAUAGAUGACAUCAAUUCAUAAAGAUAACAGGGUCCAUCUAAGAGGUGACCAUAUCCUCUAGUAUGCCUUGUGGAAAGAAGUAUUCUUGCAACUAAAUCAACUGUAACUGACCCUAACCAAUGAGCCUUGGAGCAUUUCAUAUCUUGCCAUGGUGAAAUUGAGGCUCAACUCUUCGGUGGUACUAUUAUUACAAUCCUCUUACUCACUUUCCAAUUGGUUAAAGCACAAAGAUAAAGCAUAAACAACAUUUUUAGGAUUUGAUAUUUAAGGUUCAAUUAUCUUUGUGGUAGCUUAAAAGUUGAAACAUAAUAAAAAUACUUGGAUUUGAUCUCUGUUCAGCUUUUCAAUUUUUGUAUAGUAUCCAUAUUCUAAGCAUAUUUAACCGAUAUGGGUACGAAAGUAAACUUAAAAAAAUUGAUCAUACCCAUGUCGGAUAUAUACUCUUGUAUCCAGCACUUCCUCUGAGUUCAAGUAACGUAGGAUUUGAUGAUCCCAAGCCUGUCAAUUUACCAUAGCAUUACAGCAUGAAAAUUGGAGUUUUUUCAAUUAUGUUACAGACCAAACAAGAUUGUAGGAAUCUCACUGAAGCUCAUGGCAAUCAUUGAUAUGAAGCUAGAGCAGAACCAAAGUCCAAACCAAUGAAUGCAAUCUUUUAUAUCAUCAAAGGACCCAAAACUCAACCAAAAGAACAUAGAUUCACUUUUUUUUGAAAAAAAAUUGAUACAUACCCAAUCAGUGUCCCACUUCUCCUUUAAGAAAUGUAAUAAUAUAAAACAUGAUGAAUAAAAAGGUUGUAUUGUCAAAAACUACAUAAAACCGAAGAAUCAUGGGGCCAUGAUUUCUGUGUCUGUGCGGCUGCAAACAUAAAACAACCUGAUAAUUUCAAAAGCAACAGCUAAUGUGAGGAUCGGAUGUCUUACUUUUUGCUUGUUAUGAAACUCUUUGGUUACUGGAUUUUUCAUAUGGCUUAGACAUCAAAGUAUCUGUCUAGCUGUCUGCAUAUUGUGGGAACCAAGGGAUUUCUCUAGGUGCUUAGUAAUCAGUCGAGGUAAAUUCUGUUGAUAUAAUUUUUAAUGUAACUUGGC